rnacentral:lncRNA from 1 species
GAAAAUAAUGUUGUUAUUGCUUUGCUCUCUCCUCUCUCAGGGUGCCCUUGCUGUUUUCAGUUGCUCAAGUUCCUGCUCAUCCAAUUUCAUUGCCUUGCUACAUAUUUGUUCUUGUGGACUAUUGGAGGACCAUUCAACAUUUUCUCAACCUGCUGCCCUGUCCCCCAGGGAUGUUCCAGGGAUGUGCAUUUCAUUGGUGUGGACUUCACAGGCAUUCUUCAAAUUUGUAAUUUUUGGAGUGAAGGAUUGCCUUCCCAUGAUGUGGAGUUCACGUGUGUUCUUUUUGUUUCAUUGUGAGUUUACUAAAUAGCUCUUAUUUUAAUUAUAGAAUAGACAGUAUCAGAUGAAUCUAUCAUAUCUGACUGCUCCUUUCUGUCUCCCUCAGAGCACCAAGGUCCAUGCAGCCUUUUGUCUCAGCAUAUGUAAGUACAAAAUUAGCUAUUAUCUCUCUGUUCACCUAAAGAUUAUUUAAACUAUACCUUAACUGAUCCCUGCUCUUUCUUUCCUUUGUCUGCCUCUCUCUCUCUCUCUCUCUCUCUCUCUCUCUCUCUCUCUCUCUCUCUCUCUCUCUCUCUCUCUCUCUCUCUCUCUCUCUCUCUCUCUCUCUCUCUCUCUCUCUCUCUCUCUCUCUCUCUCUCUCUCUCUCUCUCUCUCUCUCAUACUUUAGGGUGCCACUUUUACUUACUGUGUUAUAAUUUGGUGUGUUCUAGUUAGUGUAAAUAAGAUAAUACAUAUAUUGUGUAUACUUCCUGUUGUUGUUGUUGUUCUCUGUUCUAGCAUUUUCUGCUGACUGUGAGACGGUUCAAACUGUACAUAUUAUAAGCAUUAGUCAUUUCAGAGGAGAUUUGACCUAGCUGCAAAACCUCCAUUGUGCCCAAAUACAAAUGCAGAACCCUCUCUUCUUCAAAGUCCUGUAAUCUGCCUUGUUUUUUUGAGUGUAAACGUUUUGUAAGCGUCUAAUCACGAGGAUCUAAUAGUUUUUUUAAUCUCCACUCCUGUUUUUACAUGUGGCCAUUGAAAGAACAAAAGGUUAUUUUGGGC